CAAAAUACAAACGCCGUGUAAGACGACGAUAUGCACUUGAAGAUCAUGAUCCUAAUUCACAGGACAGCGGCUUUCUUGCUGCUCAUUCAGAUAAUUCUAGAUCAGUGUCAACAUUAUCUGAGAGCAAUACAUAUACAGAUGAUUCAGAUGAUGAAUUCUUAGACAUUGCUGUAUCCCCAACAGGAUCGUCUCCAGAUUCACUUCUACUUGGAUUCAGUACAUUAAUAGAAGAAGAUAUUAUUAGCCAGUCAUCAAUUAUUGUUAAAAGAAAAAUUACAAAAUAUUCUUCAGAUACUCCUCGCAAGACUGAUUUAUUGUUUGGUGGUACUAAAAAUAAUGAAGCAGUUGUGAGAAAAAGAAAGUUGACACAUGAUUUAGAAUCAAAUCCUGAAAUUAAUGUAUUAUUAAAGAAAACUAGACCUAGUACGAAAUCUAAACCGGCCGAGAGAAGUUAAGGUAAGAGGCUUUGAGCCGAUUCAGUUUUAUUUCUAAUUACAGUAGAACCUCAUUAAUCCGAACCAAUAAGGGCUCUAGGUUGUCUGAUUUAAUGAAAGUCCGGUUUAAACAAAAUAACCAAACAACAUGUUCGUAUUAUAGAUUUAAGAA